CACCGCGCGAACUCCGCCGCGCCUACAGCUCCCGGCGUGCACCGCGCCAGCCCCGCCGCGCCUACAGCUCCCGGCGCGCACCGCGCCAGCCCCGCCGGUGAGGGCCGUUUCCCUCUGGCGGAGCGGAGGCUCAGCCGGUCCCCGCGGGCCCGGGGUCGCUGCCCCUCCCAGGGACCCGCCUGUCCGUGCUGGGACCGCCUGAGCGGGCUGGGCUGUUAAACUCCGCCAGCCGAAGCUGGCAGUGCCACCCUGCCGGUACGGGCACGGGUGUUUGCCUUUUUUCCGGUGUUCUGAGCAGCCUCCGCUCUCCCGUGCUCUGGGCUCCAGCCGCCUGCCGGUCCCCCUCACCCGGAGCAGCAAACCUGGGCAGGGUUUUGGGGCAGAGGUUGUCCCACGGUCGCUCACACCUGCGGUCAGGAAAGAGAGUCCUGGAGUCCUUUCCCAAGGGAAGCAAAGCGAGAUUCCUCUCUGAGACACCAGGACAAAGCCACUCGAGAGCCACCUGCCUUCUCCAAGCCAGGUUUCACUUGGGAAAACUCCCCUGGCCUCCUUUUUCUGCCUCCUGUGCGUGUCCCUCUGGCUGCCAUCUCCUCCUCCAGUGCCCUCUGGUGAAAGUGUCCCCCUUUGGAUGUUCAGGAGAUCAGGACAGGGAUGUUCAGCACCCAGGACUGGAAAACAAGCUUGGAACGGUGAACUCCAGAUAAAUACAAAAAUGGACCCGCUGCUUUGCUCCCUGAAUCGUCUCCAAUGAACAAAGAGGAGGCAGGGAUGAUGGAAGCAGGACCAGGAAUGCCAGUGGCCUCACUAUCCAGUUUCACUGAGUCCUCCUGUGGUGUCACCAUCAACGUUUCAGGAAAAGCUUUGGAGUCCCACGUGCCAAACAAAACACUGGGCAGGAAGGCACAAAUUGCAGCCAUGCUUGUGCAGUUGGAGCCUCCCCUCACUGAUUUACGGCUUUUGAUGAAGUGAUUACAGAUGAAAGAAAAUAUUCCAGGGAACAGGA